UUUGGGAAAUGAUGCCAAUGAUAAGUAUCAUUAUAUCAGAGGCUGUCUUAUUUCAGAUAGUUCUGAUGAAGCAUUGCACGUCAGUCUGAUCCCAUG